UCUGUGCAUGAUAAUGGUUGAACUGUUACUCUGAGCUGGUGAUUGUGGUCCUGGGGAAAGGAAGUCUUAGCCUUUUGGCCAACAGCUUUACCUUGCUGACUACCUGGUUCUAAACAUCAUUAUUCUCACGAGGACUGAAGAAGCCAUAAAACUGAAUUACUCUGUACAACAUCUAGUCAUAUGACGUACCUUCUUGGUCUGAGGAUGAUAGAGCUGGAUUGUGCCUAAUAAUGAAGAGACGAUUUGAGAUGACGUCUGGAGAGCCAUGGGAACCACCAUCUGGUCCUUUGAGAUGAAGAGUGAUGACCUCAUUCCCUGCCACUCCCUUUGAAAAAGAAGUAGAAGAUUCAGAAACCAGGAGCCGGCAGCAGAGGCUGUCUCAGGUGAGAGGUGUGCGACAAGCAGAGAAGGCAGCUACACUGUCAAAUGAGGGCAAAGUUGAGAUUUUUGCCUGACUGUAAGCAAAGCCGGCGCCCUUUGAAACGAUAAACAACCCUUUCCCACCUCCAAUUCAUACUGCCUUCCCUCUCCCCCUUGAAAGAGAUUCUCCCUAUGUAUAACCUUCAUCUACUGAGUCCCUCCCUUCAUCACACAGUAUCAUCAUGCAAUAAUUCUCCAUCAUAAAGCCAAAGGAAAAGUCUUUACUAGUAACCCUUCCCACUAUUCAUACUGUUUUCCCAUGCUUUCCCACAUUCCCCUGCUGGCUCUCUUCUUAGUGACUGUAAGAAAUAAAGGAAAACGGGGCCAUUCUUCUAAGCAUUAUUCUAAUCCACUUCUAAUGGGAGAAAUUGGAGCUGGAGGUCUCAC